UCAACUGUCGACUGUGGCAUAGACGCCCACAGUGGUUUUGACGGGUAACGGGGAAUCAGGGUUCGAUUCCGGAGAGGGAGCCUUAAAAACGGCUACCACAUCUAAGGAAGGCAGCAGGCACGCAAAUUACCCAAUGACCGAAGGUCGAGGUAGUGACGAAAAAUAACGAUAGAGGACUCAUCCGAGGCCCUCUAAUUGGAAUGAGUACACUUUAAAACCGUCCCCGAGGAUCUAUUGGAGGGCAAGUCUGGUGCCAGCAGCCGCGGUAAUUCCAGCUCCAAUAGCGUAUAUUAAAGUUGUUGUGGUUAAAAAGCUCGUAGUUGGAUCUCAACAGCCUUGAAGCGGUUAAUUUUGUAGUUUUACUGCUUUAUAGGCUGUGCUUUUGCUGGAGGUUUAGGGGUGCUCUUGAUCGAGUGUCUCUGGAUGCCAGCAGGUUUACUUUGAAAAAAUUAGAGUGCUCAAAGCAGGCUAAAAUGCCUGAAUAUUCGUGCAUGGAAUAAUAGAAUAGGAUGUCGAUCCUAUUUUGUUGGUUUUCGGGACUCGACAUAAUGAUAAAUAGGGACAGUCGGGGGCAUUUGUAUUCAAACGACAGAGGUGAAAUUCUUGGACCGUUUGAAGACAAACUACUGCGAAAGCAUUUGCCAAGAAUGUUUUCAUUAAUCAAGAACGAAAGUUAGAGGUUCGAAGGCGAUUAGAUACCGCCCUAGUUCUAACCAUAAACGAUGCCAGCUAGCGAUCUGCCUGCGUUUUUACUGUAGACUGGGCAGGAAGCUUCCGGGAAACCAAAGCAUUUGGGUUCCAGGGGAAGUAUGGUUGCAAAGCUGAAACUUAAAGGAAUUGACGGAAGGGCACCACCAGGAGUGGAGCCUGUGGCUUAAUUUGACUCAACACGGGAAAUCUCACCAGGCCCGGACACUGGAAGGAUUGACAGAUUGAUAGCUCUUUCUUGAUUCGGUGGGUGGUGGUGCAUGCCCGUUCUU
rnacentral:rRNA from 1 species